rnacentral:lncRNA from 1 species
CGCUGAUCUUGUGUGCAUUUACACUAAUACUGAACUUGGCCCAGAGGAUUUUGCAUCUCAAUGAUGAGAAAUAGAGAAGCUCAGCACCCACAGUUCCCAGGCGUUUGUAGUAAUCAGGCUGGAGCAUCACGCUAUCCAGAAAUAUCGGAGUAAAACAGAUAUUUUAAUAGCGCUGAUGUUAAAGCACAGGAGCUGGAGGAGGUAGGGAGAAGUGCUUGCCAGUGGUUCGGAUGCUGCGCUGCCAGGCAGCUCACAGUCCCAGUCACGUUGCAGGCCAAACCAGAUGGGCAAGCAAUACAAGCUGUGAAUUUAUUCUUGAUCCCUGUAGGACAGUGACCACCUCCGUUUUUACCAUCACCGUACAGAUAUGCACUGUCAAUAAGUCCCUUUCAAGCGUUUCAAGUGAACAGGCUGAGGCGUACCGUGUUCUGAGGACCCUGAUUCAGCAAAGCACUUUAACCAUACGGACAAGCUCCACUGGAGAUCCUGGAGCACAAGGAAAGAGUUUUAAUAUAAAACAUCAGAAAAAAACACGCUGCAACAUCUCGUGUGAGAGAGAGAGAGAGGGAAAAAAAGGAGACUUACAAUUACAUCUUGAAACACUCAUAUGAUUUGAGCUGUCAGCAUGCCGUGUUCAGAUGGCAACGAUCAGUCACAAAUUGUCCCCCAUCCAUGCUCCUCAGCUCUCCUAAACCAUUUGUGUAGUGGAGCCCUUCAACAAAGAUGGCACCAGUUCGAUUUUUUUUUUUUUUCCCCUUAGCUAAUGGAAAAAGAG